rnacentral:lncRNA from 1 species
GGAGAGGCCAACAGAUGAGGGAGCCAUUUUUCUGCAAUGGAAUUAAAUGGCCAAGUGGGACUCACACUUGGAAGAAUGAAGAAGACCUUUUAAAAAGAUCUGGAUUUUUCCUUAUGACUUGGAAUCCAUCUUUGUCUUGUAUAACUAGGUCAUAGCACACUAUUAAUGUCAGCAGUUAACAGUUUUGAAUUCAAAAAAACCUAAAGCACUAAACAGCCCUCAGCGAAGCCGCCUUUAUGCCAGCCAAACCCUGGAAAGUUUGCAGUCGUGGAAGGAGCAGAAAUACCACGAGUGUAACUUACAAAGAAGGUCUUGGCUGGAGACCGGAGCCAUGUCUGUGUUAUCCCCACUGUAGACAAUCCUUGCUUCCUCUGGACAUCUGGAGCAGGCCCAAUUUGACUGACAGCCUUCCCCACUAAGGAAUUCCUGGACAAUGGAGAGUGCCCCAGGCCCCCUGAACAUCUUGCUGAUGAGGGAGUAAAGCCACCCUGGGUGGGUGAGUGUGUAUCUCAGCUCGACCUCUGAGGAGGCUCUCACCAGCAGCUGGCUAGAUUCCUGGUUAUUUUUAGUUACAGAUACAGCCCCACCAUCACCACCAGAGUUGAGUCCAAAUCCAACACUCUAGGCCGGGUAGUGCUGGGGCUUUGCCAGCCUCCUGCUGAGGUAGGGCUGGGUGAGUAGGCAGGCUGAAAUGGGUGAGGUGGCCAUGUGCUGCCUGAACCCUCCCCAGAGCUGGUUGCUUUUGGUCAUUUCCUCCCUGCAGACUUGCUCUGUCACUGUCACAGAGGGUGGAGAGUGCACACGCAGGUCUGGGGGAGUUUGUGGGAAGCCAGGAGCCCUCUCUUGG